rnacentral:rRNA from 1 species
UCCUACGGGGGGCAGCAGUAGGGAAUUUUCGUCAAUGGGCGCAAGCCUGAACGAGCAAUGCCGCGUGAACGAGGAAGGUCUUCGGAUCGUAAAGUUCUGUUGAAGGGGAAAAAGAGCGGAGAGAGGAAAUGGUCUCCGAUUGAUAUUACCCUUCGAGGAAGUCACGGCUAACUACGUGCCAGCAGCCGCGGUAAUAGGUAGGUGGCGAGCGUUAUCCGGAAUGAUUGGGCGUAAAGGGUGCGUAGGCGGCCUGCUAAGUCUGGAGUGAAAGGUACCGGCUCAACCGGUACAGGCUCUGGAAACUG